rnacentral:pre_miRNA from 17 species
UUAGCCUGAAGCCUUUCCCGGUAGGCCGAGACCCUAUCAAUGUUGCCUCUGCUGUUCGGAUAUUCUCACAGUAGUGCAAUGUUGCUUAUAGGGUUCUGGACAGCGGGAGACCCUCGCGUCGGACAA